ensembl:lncRNA
AGUUCAUCCCAGCCAGAGGGCCUUUGAAGUUCAUCCAGCCAGAGGCCCUUUGAAGUUCAUCCAGCCAAGGGCCCUUUGAAGUUCAUCCCAGCCAGAGGGCCCUUUGAAGUUCAUCCCAGCAGAGGGCCCUUUGAAGUUCAUCCCAGCCGAGGGCCCUUUGAAGUUCAUCCCAGCCGGGGCCCUUUGAGUUCAUCCCAGCCGAGGGCCACGAGUUCAUCCCAGCCGAGGGCCAGAGAGUUCAUCCCAGCCGAGGGCCUUUGAAGUUCAUCCCAGCCGAGGCCCUUGAAGUUCAUCCCAGCUGAGGGCCAGAGAUGUUCAUCCAGCCGAGGGCUUUGAAGUUCUCCCAGCGAGGGCCUUUUGAAGUUCAUCCCAGCGAGGCU